CCUUAAGCCUGAUAUUUUUUUCAUUUGGUCUAAAACUCUCCAAGUCUCGAGUAGAGUCUCUCUUUGGGUCACCCACUCACCCCUUCUCCAUCAUUCUUCCGCUCUAGCUGUUUCUUUCCCUCAUCAGAUCUAUGAACGAGGAACUAGUGUAGCUUUUGGGUACUCGAAUCCAAAAGCCCCAACUACAUUUCUCUCUCUCUUUACUCGCUAGAUCACCCGUUCGUCCAACCCUAGAAUCGUAAAAAACUAGAUUAGUUGCAGUAGCCAUGGCCAUCUCUGCCAUGGACCCAAAAGCCGUGAAAUCGGACUUGGUCUUCAUCCUCGACUACGGCUCCCAUACACCCACCUCAUCACUCGCCGCAUCCGAUCCCUCUCCGUCUUCUCCCUCACCAUCUCCUGCACCAGCCCCCUCAAGACCAUCACCGACCUCAACCCCAGUGUUGUCAUCCUCUCCGGCAGUCCCCAUUCCGUCCACACCGACGACUCCCCCAGCUUCCCAGCCGGGUUCACCGAGUGGGCCGAGGCCCACGACUUGUUUGUCCGCGGAAUCUGCUAUGGCUUGCAACUGAUUGUGCAGAAGCUUGGCGGGGUGGUUAGGGCUGGGAAGAAGCAAGACUAUGGCAAGAUGGAGAUUGUGGUGGAGAGCAAUUCGGGGAUUUUCCGGGACUAAGAGGGUUGGGGAUAGGCAGGUGGUGUGGAUGAGUCAUGGGGAUGAGGUGGCUAAGUUGCCCCAGGGGUUCCGGGUGAUGGAGCAGAGCUAGCAGGGAGUGGUGGCCGCCAGCCAUUGAAAGCCCAGAAAGCUGCAGUACCACCCUGAGAAGAACCGGCCAUGUUUCACAUUUCUAUCAACUCGAUUGUAAAACUGCAAGUAUGCUGCAUUAUCAAAAGAAGAGUGGGAAGAACAAUUCGCAAGUAUAAACUGCAAGUAUGCUGCAUUACUUGGAGAUUAUAGUUUUAUUCUGAAGCAUAAACAACGCAGGUUGUUAAAGUGAAAUCAGCCAUCUCAAGGUCUGGUUCAUUCUCUAUUAUAUAUAUCGAUCUUAUUUGCUUUACCAGAAAAGAAAAAAAACAUUUGGGGACAAGCUGUGAUUAAUUAGUGAUCUUUUUGAUUGGCUUUUAUAUAUUGUUUAUAAUCAACAUGCAUUUAUGCAGAGUGGAUUUAGAUUAUGGCAGCACUCACAGUUAUUAUUUUAGUAUCUGUUUGAUAAUCUCAAACCAUUUUAUGGCUCCACUUUUUCUAAUUUUUGGUUGUACACAAUGAGACAUGGUAGUUAAUUAAUUGUUAUAAAUGUCUGUUGGAUCAUUGUAUGGAAUUGAUCAAAGGUCUUUUGCUGUUAUUAGUUGAGUUGAUUGAAUGAGUUGUGAGAAAAAGAUUGGUAGAAUAAGAUUAGUGUUUCUGUCUUAGUUCGAUGAGAUCAAGUUAGAUAUUUUCUGCUAAAAAGACAAUUCUUUUUGUUUUUCUUUUUAAAUAGAUAGGGUGUUGUGUUUAGAUUCAUCAAAUGUAGGUUCUUUUGGGUAAGUAAAACUCCUUUGUGUUUAGAUUCAUCCUUUAAUUUCUAGCAUCUAUUUAUGCAUGUCAAAAAAUUUAUAAGAAAGCACAUGUCGACCUUCUUAGUGCGGAUACCCGAAAACUUUUAAGGUCUCUCUCCUCAUGGAUUGAAAUUUUCUUCCAAGAGUUUUUUAUGGGUUUAAUUUCUGAAUUAGAGUUCCAAUUUCACUUGUGUUUAAUUUCUGAAUAGUUGAUGGUAAAACUCUUUCAUUCUCUUUUAUAGCUUUAUCUGUAAAAAUUUGCUGAUUGAACAAAACCCACAUCGUUUCUCUGGUCAUUUCUCAAUUCUUCUAUGACUACUUUCACAUAUCCUGUGAAUAUCUUAUCAAGUCUUCCAAAAGCAUCAGCAUUAUUCGAAAGGGAAGGUAUGGUGCUUGGACCCCAAAUAGACUAAACAGUUUAUUUGAUUGGAUAUUAAUCUGUCUUUGUUUUCUUGAUUUGAAAUCUUAUUUGUUUUUCAGUUGAGCUAAUAGAAGCGUUUUGUUUUGUUUUGUUUUUGGGUUCUUCAUUUCAUGUAAAGUUUAUGGUACCCUGAAUUCUAAUUAUAUUGAUUGGAGAUGCCUUAUUUAAUUUCAGAUUAUUCUGUUAAUCACUUGAUGCUUCUUUCUUCAUAUGUAUUGAGUAGCUUCUGGUCCAAAAUCAAGUAUUUACAGUCCCACAUAUUAGAAUAUAAAACAUAAUUUACA